CAAGCAAGUGGCUAUCAGUUAUCAGUGGCCGAGUGGAUAACGAGAUGGCGUUUGGAGCGAAAGGUACUGGGUU
rnacentral:tRNA from 1 species